rnacentral:misc_RNA from 1 species
ACCUUUCGGGGGGGAGGAUGCCUAAGGCAGGACUGGUGACUGGGGUGAAGUCGUAACAAGGUAGCCGUACCGGAAGGUGUGGCUGGAUCACCUCCUUUUUAGGGAGACCUACACCCCUUACAUAUCGAAAAGCAUACAGUUAUAUAGAUAGUAAGUUGGUCAUUCCUUAGGUCGGUCGAGUAUUGGUAUAAAGCUUUCAAAGUAUUAAUGGUUCGGAAUAUUAAACAGAAAAGCUAGUGAGAGAUCAGCAACAUGACUUAAUUGAGUCAGACUGCUGAGUUAGUUCUCAGCCAGAACCUUGAAAACUGCAUAGUAACGCGAAAUUAGCAGGCAGACACAGACAUUGAGAGUGUUGAGUACUGAGUGCUGAGUGCUGAGUGAAAUCAGUGUGAAGUGACGAGGUAAGCAGAACUAACUAUUUGUGAAUGCAAUCAUGUGAAACACCAAAUGU